rnacentral:rRNA from 1 species
UUUUGAUUAUAAUUUAAAGUCUGACCUGCCCUAUGAUUUAUUGUUAAAUGGCCGCGAUAUUUUGAUCGUGCAAAGGUAGCAUAAUAAUUAGUUUUUUAAUUGAGAACUGGUAUGAAUGGUUGAACGAGAAAAAAACUGUCUCAAUUUAAAUUUAAUUAGAAUUUUAUUUUUAAGUUAAAAAGCUUAAAUAUUUUUAAAAGACGAGAAGACCCUAUAGAGUUUUAUAUAAAUUUAUUAUUUAAAAAAAUUUAAGAAUUUUAAAUUUAUUUAUAUAAAUUUAUAUUUAAUUGGGGUGAUUAAAAAAUUUAAGGAACUUUUUUUAAAUUUAAACAUAAAUUUAUGAAUAGAUGAUCC